rnacentral:rRNA from 1 species
GACAGAGGGUGCAAACGUUGUUCGGAUUUAUUGGGUUUAAAGGGUGCGUAGGCGGCUUUGUAAGUCAGUGGUGAAAUAUGGCAGCUCAACUGUCAAGGUGCCAUUGAUACUGCAGAGCUUGAGUACAGAUGAGGUAGGCGGAAUUGACGGUGUAGCGGUGAAAUGCUUAGAUAUCGUCAAGAACACCUAUAGCGAAGGCAGCUUACUAGGCUGUAACUGACGCUGAGGCACGAAAGUGUGGGGAUCAAACAGG